GAGUUUGAUCCUGGCUCAGGAUGAACGCUGGCGGCGUGCUUAACACAUGCAAGUCGAACGGAGAUGUUGCAGCAGAAGCGAAUAGCUUGCUAUGAGUGGAAACGGUGGCAUCUUAGUGGCGGACGGGUGAGUAACGCGUGGGCAACCUGCCCUGCACUGGGGGAUAACACUUAGAAAUAGGUGCUAAUACCGCAUAAUAAAAUAUAUUGCAUGAUAUAUUUUUGAAAGCUGCGGCGGUGCAGGAUGGGCCCGCGUCUGAUUAGCCAGUUGGUGGGGUAACGGCCCACCAAAGCGACGAUCAGUAGCCGGCCUGAGAGGGUGGACGGCCACAUUGGGACUGAGACACAGCCCAAACUCCUACGGGAGGCAGCAGUGGGGGAUAUUGGACAAUGGGGGGAACCCUGAUCCAGCGACGCCGCGUGAGUGAAGAAGUAUUUCGGUAUGUAAAGCUCUAUCAGCAGGGAAGAAAAGAAUGACGGUACCUGAAUAAGAAGCCCCGGCUAACUACGUGCCAGCAGCCGCGGUAAUACGUAGGGGGCAAGCGUUAUCCGGAUUUACUGGGUGUAAAGGGAGCGCAGACGGCAAUGCAAGCCUGGAGUGAAAGGCGGGGGCCCAACCCCCGGACUGCUCUGGGAACUGUAUAGCUAGAGUGCAGGAGAGGCAAGUGGAAUUCCUAGUGUAGCGGUGAAAUGCGUAGAUAUUAGGAGGAACACCAGUGGCGAAGGCGGCUUG
rnacentral:rRNA from 1 species